GUGUUGGCUAGCUGGCAAGGAAAACAUGGGAAGACAGUGCCAUGCCGCCAUUAAAAGGAGGCAGUUCAAGAAGAUAUUGAAGAAAAAAGAAUUCAUUUGCCCAGAUCCUUGAGAUGCUGCGACUCUGGCCCUUGGGGAACAAAGGAGAGGCCCUUGGGGAACAAAGGAGAGGAGGACUGUUUGGCAGAGACCUAAAUGGGGUGGCAUAGCCUCCAAGCAUAAUAGUGAAUUCCCUGCUAAGGGCCAAAAAUCUCUUGGAAAAUAGGACUGUGACCUUUCUUUUGCGGUUGCCAUGGAACGCUGGCAUCCUGACUGCUAGUAGAAGGUCAGUAAUUGUAUUUAAAUGGAGCAAACUCUGAACAUCUAUAAUGCAUGCAGUCUA
rnacentral:lncRNA from 1 species